rnacentral:rRNA from 1 species
UAGUCCUGGCCCUAAACAAUGUCCACUAGGUUGUGGCUCCACUGACGGAGUCAUGCCCGAAACGAAAGCGUUAAGUGGACCGCCUGGGAAGUACGGUCGCAAGGCUAAAACUCAAAGGAAUUGACGGGGGCUCACACAAGCGGUGGAGCAUGUGGUUUAAUUCGAAGCAACGCGCAGAACCUUACCUGGGUUUGAAAUGGCUGGAUUAUCUUGAUGAAAGUCGAGUAGGCCCUUCGGGGUACAACAGUCAC